rnacentral:misc_RNA from 1 species
AAAAAGAAAAAAAAAACACCAGUCACAAUCUCUUAAUGAACAUGCCAAAUACAAAUUUUACAUAGCAAGUGCUUAUCUAAAUUGACUGACCAAAGAAGCUGUAAGUUUACCAUCAUGAAAUGACUUGCUUAAUUUAUUACAACCAAGAAAAAAAAAAUGAAUCUAAUAUAUUUGAUCUUUAGUUUACAUUGAAACAAAGUCAUAUUGAUAGUUCUCAGUAGUUCAUCACUACUUAGUACAUACAUUAGGAAAACUUGUAGAUUAGUUCCUAAUUUCACUCUAACACGGGAUCAUGGCAAUCAUUAAAGUCACAUACGUUUGUUUACUUUUACGCCGAGUUCAUCAAUCCUCACUGAUUAGCUGAGCCAAUUUUGCUUCUUCUUAGAAGGCAUAUACUUGCUAGAAAUAUUGAUACCUAUUUAUGUGCCCUAAUCUUUAAGUUUGAACUUUUAAGUUGAGUGACAGUUUAAUAUAGCACCACAUUGAGUGACACUUUAAUAUAGCACGACAAGUUAAAGAGUUCAACAACUCCUCCUUCAUUAAUCAAAUUUCAACAAAAGGUUAGGCAGACUUGUGCUUGACUACAAUCUAAGAUGAGGUAUAUAAAAAAUAUUAAAGCCUAUUCCUGGACAUUUGUUAAUGAGCUUGAGCUUUUAGAUUGAGUUGUUCUUUGAUUUGUCUCAAUACUCAUGAAGAAAUCAAAUAGAUAAAUAUAGAAGAGAGAGCAAAGGAACCAGAAAGUUUCUGAAUGUCAACAU